CCCUAUGGGGUGCCAGCAAUGGACAAGGCCGGCCGUGAUGGCUCAAAGGUUUUUGGAAGAGUUCCGGAUCCCGCCGGAGGCAAACCAAGGCCUCGGGGCGGAUCGAGGCGAUUUGCUCCAGAAACACCGCCACAUCAGCCAAGGCAAAUGGGCGGCCGACCACCCGGGUGCGCAAGGGUAUUUGGGCGCAUAAUUCACCCGCCUGAGCGAGAUCGCCGGCAAAGUGGCUUUGGGCAAAAAAAUCACGGGAAUCGACCGAGCGUUUCAAGCGCUCAAGGUCUUCCACCUCGCCCUCGAUGAACAAAAUCGGAUGGCUCAUGGCUGCUUCGGUCGAUAUCCACGCAAAUGAUCCGGAUAAACCUUUACUCUGGAUAGCUCAACAUGCCAAGCAUUAUUUCGUGGCGCCUGGGAGCGGGACAAAUUCCCUGGGAGC
rnacentral:rRNA from 1 species